rnacentral:miRNA from 1 species
UAGGGUGACCAACUUUCUUGGUUUGCACAGGACUAUAGGGUUUCUGAGAUGCGUAACUUUUAGUGCUAAAACUAGGACAGUCCUAGGCAAACCAGGAAAAUUUGUCACUCUACUAAUAA